rnacentral:rRNA from 1 species
AACUUUCAACAACGGAUCUCUUGGCUCUGGCAUCGAUGAAGAACGCAGCGAAAUGCGAUAAGUAAUGUGAAUUGCAGAAUUCAGUGAAUCAUCGAAUCUUUGAACGCACAUUGCGCCCCUUGGUAUUCCGAGGGGCAUGCCUGUUCGAGCGUCAU